UACGGAGGAUCCGAGCGUUAUCCGGAUUUAUUGGGUUUAAAGGGUGCGUAGGCGGUUUGAUAAGUUAGAGGUGAAAUGUCGGGGCUCAACCCCGAAACUGCCUCUAAUACUGUUGGACUAGAGAAUAGUUGCGGUAGGCGGAAUGUAUGGUGUAGCGGUGAAAUGCUUAGAGAUCAUACAGAACACCGAUUGCGAAGGCAGCUUACCAAACUAUAUCUGACGUUGAGGCACGAAAGCGUGGGUAGCAAACGGG
rnacentral:rRNA from 1 species